AGACAGAAGAGGAAUAACUGAGAAUCAACUAACCCGUUAAAGAUAAAUAAGUCUAUUGUGAUGGAGUUCUCAAAACAUUGAAACAAGCUGUCUGAAGGCUGUGUAUGGAGUGCCUGCAUGGAGAAGGAGGUAGGAAAGAGUGAAACUGUAAAGACACCCUACAAGCUGGAUCCUUCAACAUUUCAACGUGAACUCCUGGGACUACUUCUCUAAUUUGUAAAAUGUGCAGAAGCCGUCUCAGGAUCAGGAUCACCGUGCCUUGUCAGCAGCCUGUGGUGGUCCUGC